AUCUAGUAUGUGAAGUUUUGUAUGGUAUCGAGCCCUGUUUCCUCUAUCAUCCUACUACUCCUCUCCCGCGGGGGAGGGGAGGAGGAGGGGUGAUGGGUAGUAGUGUAGGCAAUAGAUACCAGGGACGAGGAUCAUACUGGAGAGGUCAGCAUCAGUUACGGACUAGAGAUUGUUGAAUGGAUGCAAAAGGUAGGUCCGUCGUGGGCUGCUUUUAUAGUUGCACCAUGUUUGUGCUAUUGUCUGUGACUGAGGUGGAUGAUGUGGAAAUCAUCGUAUGAYGAUGACGAUGCUGCAUGGAAUUUUCGGGCUGCACACCCACAGACAGGGGAGUGUAGUCGAAGAAUUCUGUGAUGCUGCUGGCUAAAACGGUUUCAACCGACCCGUCUUGAAACACGGACCAAGGAGUCUAACAUAUGUGCGAGUAUGCGGGUGGCAAACCUGUAUGCGUAAUGAAAGUGAGAGUAGGGAGGGAGAGUGUUGUUGUAGUAGUAGUAGUAGGAGUGAUAUUAUAUUAUAUAGUGGUUCUGCUGCUAGUAGUAUAGUAUAGUGCUGCUGCUGCUGCUGCUGCUUCCGCUUUUUUGCACCUACGACCGACCACGAUCGUUAUCAUUGUUAUAAUAUGUGAUGAUGAUAAUAGGAGAGAGGUUUGAGUUGGAGCAUAUGUGUUAGGACCCGAAAGAUGGUGAACUAUGCCUGGGUAGAAUGAAGUCAGGGGAAACCCUGAUGGAGGUUYGUAGCGAUACUGACGUGCAAAUCG
rnacentral:rRNA from 1 species